CCCCGCGGGACAGGGAGAGUCAGCGAAACCCGGCUGAAAUUCAGGCAGAUCGGUGAAAUCGCCGGCCUCAGCAGAAUUUCGGUCAUUGCAGUUUAACUCUUAGGGUGCUGCUGCCUUUCCAGCCUCAAGCCCCAGCUAUUCUUGAGGAGGCUGAAAAUUGUCCGGGAGUCUGCUAAUGACUUUAAUGAGCUGCUUAGGAAGACAACAGGGAUUUGUGCAAUAGAGAAUGGUGAACUGGCUCAUAGCUGGUGUGUAUGGAAGAAUUGCUCCUGUGAAUGUCUGUCUGCUGGGAAAGCAGCAGAGCACCUACAGAAAGUACAUAGUGGGCUUGUUCAGCACAACAGCCUUUCAGAGGAAACCACAAACACCCUAAAGCAGCAGUGGCGUGGGACCAAUGCCUUCCAAAAGGAUGAGGGGAAGGAGGAAUUUAAAUGGUUUGAAUUAAAAAUGGAGCAGGCUUGCAAGCUGUCUCCAUUGUCUCCUGGUGUUCUUGGGUAGUACUCAAAGUAAAUAGUGAUGAGAUUGACAGGUCUAACCAGGAAAAUGGACCCCCCAGUGCUGGCAAAUUACAUCAAACCCUUAGAACAGGGAUGAAACCCACCUCCUUGGAGGUUUAGGCUAAUGGCAGGGUUGGGAUUUCCCCAGAACCAUGUAGGAAGUAGGAAGGCUCUAAAUGUGGCUGGCGGAGGGAUACAAGGCCAAAUUUAGCCUUACCAGAAGCCAGACCAAUGCUUAUUUCUAACUGAGCUGAAGGAGCUGACUAAGGAGCUCAAGCUGGCCAAGAGUGACAGUAAGAGAGGAGAAGAAGGCUGAGGAGUUGCUGGGAGGUGGAGCAGUUAGAGUGCAUGUUUACUGCACUCAUGUUUACAGCAGGAGAGAUACAGCAGAGAUGUGGUCCACUGAGCUCUUGAAAAAGAUUCUGCAAAGGGAAGGGUAGCUCAGCUUAUUGCAAUUGAAGUGGGG
rnacentral:lncRNA from 12 species